ACUUAAAUAAUUUAAUUUAAAAUAUUGAUUUGUGGUGUCAAAAAUAUGAGAGGGUCAUUUUAGGUUA
rnacentral:tRNA from 1 species